rnacentral:rRNA from 1 species
ACCCCGGGAGGGGAGUGAAAUAGAACCUGAAACCGCAUGCAUACAAACAGUAGGAGCCUCGUCAGAGGUGACUGCGUACCUUUUGCAUAAUGGGUCAGCGACUUACAUUCUGUGGCGAGCUUAACCGAAUAGGGGAGGCGCAGCGAAAGCGAGUUCGAAAUGAGCGUUCAGUCGCAGGGUGUAGACCCGAAACCAGAUGAGCUAUCCAUGGCCAGGUUGAAGGUGUGGUAACACACACUGGAGGACCGAACCGACUAGUGUUGCAAAAUUAGCGGAUGAGCUGUGGAUAGGGGUGAAAGGCCAAACAAAUCUGGAGAUAGCUGGUUCUCCCCGAAAACUAUUGAGGUAGUGCCUCGUGUGUCGCUCCAGGGGGUAGAGCACUGUUUUGGCUAGGGGGACAUGGAGUCUUACCAAACCAAGGCAAACUCCGAAUACCUGGAAGCGUAAGCACGGGAGACAGAGCACCGGGUGCUAACGUCCGGACUCAAAAGGGAAACAACCCAGACCGCCGGCUAAGGUCCCAAAUAACAGCUAAGUGGAAAACGAAGUGGAAAGGCCGUGACAACCAGGAAGUUGGCUUAGAAGCAGCCAUCCUUCAAAGAAAGCGUAAUAGCUCACUGGUCGAGUCCUUCUGCGCGGAAGAUGUAACGGGGCUAAGCUGUUAACCGAAGCCGCGGAUGCGCUGGUUAUCCAGUGCGUGGUAGGGGAGCGUUCUGUAAGUCUGCGAAGGCGGUUCGAGAGGACUGCUGGAGAUAUCAGAAGUGCGAAUGCUGACAUGAGUAACGUUAAAGCAGGUGAAAAGCCUGCUCGCCGUAAGCCCAAGGAUUCCUGCUCUACGUUCAUCGGAGCAGGGUGAGUCGGCUCCUAAGGUCAGGCCGAAAGGCGUAGCCGAUGGGAAUCAGGUUAAUAUUCCUGAACCUGCGUCAGAUGCGAUGGGGGGACGGAGCAUGGAAGAUCAUCCGGGUGUUGGAAGUCCCGGUUGUUUAGCGUAGGAGGUCUGCAGGCAAAUCCGCAGACGCAUCUCCAAGGCAAAGACACGUGCCGCCACGGCGGCGAAGUGAUCGGAAGUGCUUCCAAGAAAAGCCUCUAAGCCCCAGUCUGACGCGGACCGUACCGCAAACCGACACUGGUGGGCGAGCUGAAUAUGCUCAGGCGCUUGAGAGAACUCGGGAGAAGGAACUCGGCAAAUUGACACCGUAACUUCGGAAGAAGGUGUGCCGUAGUACCGUGAGAGGAGAGACACCUUGAGCGGGAAACGGUCUCAGAGAAUAGGUGGCUGCGACUGUUUAUUAAAAACACAGCACUCUGCAAAGUCGAAAGACGACGUAUAGGGUGUGAUGCCUGCCCGGUGCUGGAAGAUUAAUUGAUGGGGUGAGAGCCCUUGAUCGAAGUCCCAGUAAACGGCGGCCGUAACUAUAACGGUCCUAAGGUAGCGAAAUUCCUUGUCGGGUAAGUUCCGACCUGCACGAAUGGCAUAACGAUGGCCACACUGUCUCCUCCCGAGACUCAGUGAAGUUGAAAUGUUUGUGAUGAUGCAAUCUACCCGCGGCUAGACGGGAAGACCCCAUGAACCUUUACUGCAGCUUUGCAUUGAACUGUGAACCGAUUUGUGUAGGAUAGGUGGGAGGCAGAGAAGAGGCCACGCCAGUGGUCUUGGAGCCGACCUUGAAAUACCACCCUGAUUUGUUUGCGGUUCUAACCACGGACAGUGAUCCUGUCUUGGGACCGUGCAUGGUAGGCAGUUUGACUGGGGCGGUCUCCUCCUAAAGGGUAACGGAGGAGUACGAAGGUACGCUAGGUACGGUCGGAAAUCGUGCUGAUAGUGCAAUGGCAAAAGCGUGCUUGACUGCGAGAGCAACAACUCGAGCAGAUGCGAAAGCAGGUCAUAGUGAUCCGGUGGCUCUGAAUGGAAGGGCCAUCGCUCAACGGAUAAAAGGUACU